ACUGUAUACUAAAGAUAUAAGAAAGUGAAAACAAACCUAUAAAAGGCGAAAAUAUUUGCAGGCCAAAUCAAAAGUAUUCAUACGAUGGAAAUCGAAAGGAUAAAAGUAAUUUUGAAAUAAAGAACAUUUAAAAAUAAGAGUAAUUAAAAUGGAAACAGUGAGAAAUAUAUUAAAUCCCCUAAAGGAUUGUUCCCGAUCAAAUAACUUGCAGGUGUGGAAAUCUCUUCCGCAGCCUAAACGAAAGUCAAAUUCAGGUGCCCGUUCAGGAAGCACGACAAUUGCAAUGACAAAGCACUAUUGGCCUAUGUACUUUUGAAUUUAGGUUUUUACCGAGGCCAGGGCUAGACACGAAAUAUCAGAUAUUUAUGUCACGUUCUUUCUUUAAGGCGAUUUAUGGGAAACGUACUAAUUGCCAGAUAGUAGCUUAUUCCAGGCUGUUAGAAAAAUGACACUUAGGCUAUCAGCGGUGGAAGCAUAUAUUUUGACAUCAGGAGUUUGGAGUGGAUCAUUCUGACUCUCACGUAAGUCUGCUGGACUACCAGAGGGAUUUGGACUCCAUGAUCAUCAUCUUCACGUGCAAGACCCCCUUUAGUUGCUCAUGGAGUGGAUGCUGGUGUGCUGCUUAUGGAUCUAUUUAGGUCAGUGCAAAAUCUUGCAAGUAAUAUUUUCAUAUAGAUAUAUAUAUAUAGAAGCAAACAAGCAUGUAAAAAUGAAGUGACAAUCUUAAUAUUUUGAAAGUAUGGGUUAAGGAAUAGCAUGUGCAUCUAUGCAACAGAUAACAGAAAUUAACAAGAAAAACAAAACAUAUAGUAUUUAUUUGUUUUUAAAGUAAGCAUCUGACUUUUGUAACAACCCAGGCACUGCUGCUGCUCUUGUGAAAAAGCAAGUGCAGAUUGGGGACCAUGUCACACUUGACUGUGACAUAAAUGUGAAGAACAAUGGUCAUUAUGAGAUUGAGUGGAGAACUCUCGACCGCAUGGUGGCCAAAUCUGUCAACGGAAUCCUCACCCCAGGCUGUGGGUUUAAGGACAGAUUGUAUCUUGAUGGUGUAUCCCUCACCAUAACACACACUCAGUACGAUGAUCAUGGUCAAUAUGAAUGCUGGUAUGACGGACAUCAGAAAUCUUGGUCAUUGCAGAUAGACAUUCACAACAAUCUUACAACAACUGUUGGACAGCCUGUCUGGAUUCCCUGUUAUGAAAAACUAAAAAAGUGCAGUAAAGACGGAAGGGCAAAUGAAAUAUCUUUUGAAUGGUGGAAAGACAAAAACCCUGUGCCUGUAUUUCAGAUGGAGAAGGGUGCAAGAGUUGCAAAGGGGAGAGCAGAGGAGUCACCUGAUGUAAAACAGGGAAAUUUCUCUCUUGUCUUUCACAAGGCAUAUUUUUCUGACAGUGGGACCUACCGGUGCAGUGAGCAGGAGGAGAGUACUAUUCUUCGGAUGAAAGGUAAGUUUACAGAAUUCCAAAUUCAAAAUAUCGGAGAGAGUUUGUCCCCCUCCCCCCCAGACUCGAAGCUCAUGCGGGUUGCCAGGUUGAGGACACUGAACCUACACAAACAAGCGCAAAACCAGCUCAACAUUAAAGUGGCAUUAUGCAGUAAUUGUACUUCAGGGUUAGGGUUAGGAUAAGCAGUUUUACCUUAAAAUAACAGCUUAAAAAAAAAUUCGGCGCUACCAUGACUUUUAUUAUGGAGAAUUGCUUCCGUGCCGUUGCCAUACCAGGGUCCGUAGGCCUAUUACUGGGUUAUGUAGGUUUGGCUGAAGCCGCCCGGUUUCUACUGUCUGCCGAACUAUUAAGUAGCUUAUUUGCCGUCUUGCUUUGUCUUGUGUUGCACUUGCUUGAUGUUUGACUGUGUUAGGACAGUUGUUGACUAACUAGUUUGUCAUAGUGUCAAAGUAAGCACAUUUCAAGAGGUUUCGCUAGUUUUAGGCGCUAGCAUCUCGUUAGCGAUUAGCAAUUGUUCCGUUAUGCUGCUUUAAACCUCAUUAAUGGUGA
ensembl:lncRNA